rnacentral:rRNA from 1 species
UACGAAGGGUGCAAGCGUUAUUCGGAAUCAUUGGGCGUAAAGCGCGCGCAGGCGGAUCAACAAGUCAGGUGUGAAAUCUCGAAGCUCAACUUCGAAACUGCGCCUGAAACUGUUAGUCUAGAGUGUCGGAGGGGGCAGGGGAAUUUCACGUGUAGGGGUAAAAUCCGUAGAGAUGUGAAGGAACACCGGGGGCGAAGGCGCCUGCCUGGACGACUACUGACGCUGAGGCGCGAAAGCGUGGGGAGCAAACAGG